rnacentral:rRNA from 1 species
ACAUGCAGUCGAACGAGAGUGACCGGUGCUUGCACUGGUCAAUCUAGUGGCGAACGGGUGAGUAACACGUGGGUAACCUGCCCAUCAGAGGGGGAUAACAUUCGGAAACGGAUGCUAAAACCGCAUAGGUCUUCGAACCGCAUGGUUUGAAGAGGAAAAGAGGCGCAAGCUUCUGCUGAUGGAUGGACCCGCGGUGCAUUAGCUAGUUGGUGAGGUAACGGCUCACCAAGGCCGUGAUGCCAAAUAGCCGACCUGAGAGGGUGAUCGGCCACAUUGGGACUGAGACACGGCCCAAACUCCUACGGGAGGCAGCAGUAGGGAAUCUUCCGCAAUGGACGCAAGUCUGACGGAGCAACGCCGCGUGAGUGAAGAAGGUUUUCGGAUCGUAAAACUCUGUUGUUAGAGAAGAACAAGUGCUAGAGUAACUGUUAGCGCCUUGACGGUAUCUAACCAGAAAGCCACGGCUAACUACGUGCCA